GAUGAACGCUGGCGGCGUGCCUAAUACAUGCAAGUCGAGCGAACGGACGAGAAGCUUGCUUCUCUGAUGUUAGCGGCGGACGGGUGAGUAACACGUGGAUAACCUACCUAUAAGACUGGGAUAACUUCGGGAAACCGGAGCUAAUACCGGAUAAUAUUUUGAACCGCAUGGUUCAAAAGUGAAAGACGGUCUUGCUGUCACUUAUAGAUGGAUCCGCGCUGCAUUAGCUAGUUGGUAAGGUAACGGCUUACCAAGGCAACGAUGCAUAGCCGACCUGAGAGGGUGAUCGGCCACACUGGAACUGAGACACGGUCCAGACUCCUACGGGAGGCAGCAGUAGGUAAUCUUCCGCAAUGGGCGAAAGCCUGACGGAGCAACGCCGCGUGAGUGAUGAAGGUCUUCGGAUCGUAAAACUCUGUUAUUAGGGAAGAACAUAUGUGUAAGUAACUGUGCACAUCUUGACGGUACCUAAGCAGAAAGCCACGGCUAACUACGU
rnacentral:rRNA from 1 species